GAUGAACGCUGGCGGCGUGCUUAACACAUGCAAGUCGAGCGAAGCAAUUUAAGUGAAGUUUUCGGAUGGAUCUUAGAUUGACUGAGCGGCGGACGGGUGAGUAACGCGUGGAUAACCUGCCUCACACAGGGGGAUAACAGUUAGAAAUGACUGCUAUACCGCAUAAGGCCACAGCACCGCAUGGUGCAGGGGUAAAAACUCCGGUGGUAUGAGAUGGACCCGCGUCUGAUUAGGUAGUUGGCGGGGUAACGGCCCGCCAAGCCGACGAUCAGUAGCCGACCUGAGAGGGUGACCGGCCACAUUGGGACUGAGACACGGCCCAAACUCCUACGGGAGGCUGCAGUGGGGAAUAUUGCACAAUGGGGGAAACCCUGAUGCAGCGACGCCGCGUGAGCGAAGAAGUAUUUCGGUAUGUAAAGCUCUAUCAGCAGGGAAGAAAAUGACGGUACCUGACUAAGAAGCCCCGGCUAACUACGUGCCAGCCGCCGCCGUAA
rnacentral:rRNA from 1 species